rnacentral:rRNA from 1 species
GACGAACGCUGGCGGCGUGCCUAAUACAUGCAAGUAGAACGCACAGUUUAUACCGUAGCUUGCUACACCAUAGACUGUGAGUUGCGAACGGGUGAGUAACGCGUAGGUAACCUGCCUGGUAGCGGGGGAUAACUAUUGGAAACGAUAGCUAAUACCGCAUAAUAUUGAUUAUUGCAUGAUAAUUGAUUGAAAGAUGCUAUUGCAUCACUACCAGAUUGACCUGCGUUGUAUUAGCUAGUAGGUGAGGUAACGGCUCACCUAGGCGACGAUACAUAGCCGACCUGAGAGGGUGAUCGGCCACACUGGGACUGAGACACGGCCCAGACUCCUACGGGAGGCAGCAGUAGGGAAUCUUCGGCAAUAGACGAAAGUCUGACCGAGCAACGCCGCGUGAGUGAAGAAGGUUUUCGGAUCGUAAAGCUCUGUUGUAAGAGAAGAACGGGUGUGAGAGUGGAAAGUUCACACUGUGACGGUAUCUUACCAGAAAGGGACGGCUAACUACGUG